UGCCUUCUGCACACCCACAGAGGUUUCCCUACCGCUCACGAGCCCCUGACAAAGCCCUGCUGUGAAACAGGGAUGUGUAACUCAGAUCCCGAUCCCCCUGGGCUGAGACCAGGGAAUGGGUCCAACAGGCCAAACAAAAGAUGAACCAAGAGAAGUCAGCUUCUCCUGCCCACUUUCCACCCCAGGGACCUGUGCAAAAAGUGGCAGCUUUUCUGUCAGCUUCCCUGGGUCCAGAAGGGCAGAAAGUGGCAAGGACUGGAUGGGCUGUAGGCACCCAUUUACCUUCCAAGGCAAGGAACUUACUUGAGAGAUGAGUUUUAGAGGCUGCAUUACCAAUCAAGGAGAUCCCAAAUUGACUGGAAAAUGCCUGGUGAAAUCAAUCCCACCGUGUCAUCCUCCACCCCUCAGCUGGAGACCAGCGGUCACAGUGGGCACAAGGGACCCAAGAGGCACCCAAGAUGCAGCAUGCAGAAGCCUUCAGCACUCGGGAGACAUAAAAAGCCACGUAUUGAGAGAUCCCUUGCAGGGAGAGGGGGAACCAGCGGCUCAGCAACUAGGGAGCAGAAAUCCAGGCUGGCAGCUUGCACUCGACGGGCUGUAAAUCACUCCCGCUCCAUUCACAGCAGAAGUCUUGCAUGAAGGUCUCACCUCCAAACAGUCCCCGCACGUCCGAAGGUGAGCCAGGAAUCAGAGGAAUACGAAAAGGGCUUUGCACUGGGAAAUGCCACACCAGAGGAAAAUGUUCUCCUGCGAUAGCAGCUGGAUUUUGGGGGAAGCCACAGAGCUGCAGCCUCAGGCAGGCAAGCAGCCUACACUCUGCUUCUGCUCUCAAACAUUGUCCCUCACCUGCCUGAGUCACCAAGUCGCACGUGCCUCAGUUUCCUCAGCCAUCAAAUUGGGAAAGAGGCAAAAAAUCUGACUAAAUCUGGCUUUCCUCCAUGAAACACUGAUAUUUCAGGGGAUAAAAGAAAUGCAUCAGUGUUUGAUGAAGGACUAAGAUUGCCACCUGCUAAAACAAAAUGCCCAUCUGCCAUGCAUUCAGAUGGUUGUUCUUCACGCUAUCUCCUCAUGGGAUUAGUUCUGGGAGGAAAAAACAAAGGAGCCUUUUUUCCUAAACUGCAUCUCCUGGUCCAUGUGUGCUUUUUGGGUGAAAAGAUAUUCUCUACUAUGCCAAACCAACUGGUGCCUGGACUUGUACCUAGCAAGUUCCAGCCCUGCAUUAUACUUGCACAUUAUGGUGCUCAUGGCAUGGCCUGCCCAUGUUCCCCAGGGUUAGUGGGAAUAUUUCUCUUGUCCGCAAAAUGGGAGCAGUUACGAUGGAAGCACUCUGCUGAGACCCUCACCUUCCUUCUGCUUUCAGUCCCUCUCAUCUCAUUUACACGUUUCCUUUCAAUCACUUCUGCAGAAAUGUUUCUUGAUGCCUGGUAAACUGAAAAGGGGAAGUUGCCCAUGAAAUACACCAAGAAAUCUCAAUUUAAAAAAGGAAGUACCUGCCUUCCUCUCCACUGUCUCUUCAUUUCAAAACCGCUUGAUUAUUUUCCCCUGCAGGUAUUUACUAAACAUUGCCUAAGUGACUACGAACAACAAAAUCCACAAAGCACAGACGUUGACGCUGGCCUCACUCUGUGGGCUGCUCAGAUGAUAUCACACUGCAUAUUUUCCUUUCAAAAUUCAGUGAGAAGAUGCAAAAGAUCCACCACAAAAGAUCUCUGUUGCUAAAAAA